CACAUACUGCGGGUGGGUCACAUGUCCCCCUGAAUACACUGCGUUACGUACAAUAUCUGUAUGUGUCCUGUUCAUGUAGGUUGUGCUACAUGACCUCAUCAUAAGCUAUUGGUACAGCUACGCUUGCCUUCCGGGUGGAGAGAUGUGGUGGGAAUGAGUUGCUUUGACCACUGCACGCCUAGUGGCCAGACGGUUGGACGACAUUACAAGACAUGCAUAGGUGUUGACCUGGAAGUGAGUGUGAGUGUAUAAGUGAGAGCAUGUGUUAGGAUAGCUAAUGUGGUGUGUAUGUGUUAGGUGUGUACUCCAUUUUGUUGUAGCCUUGGUUUGGACUUACACAGAGUUUUAGAUAUCUAGUGUUAAUUUAAGAUGACUUUGAAACAACUGAACCAACCCCCAAAAAAUCCAUAUUGGAUUUUAAUGUAUUAUUCCUCGCACUCAGACCAUGAAGAAAGUCAUUAUUUUUGGUCCAAAACCAAUUCUGUUGACAGUGUGUUGAUUUUCAAUGAUAAAUCAGUUGUUAAAGGAUUAUAAAGCAGUUAUCAUAGUUUUAUAGAUUUGCCGGAGCGGUGCUCUGUUGGAAAAACACCUGAAAUAAAAGGGGCAGUACGUAACAAUGUUUCAUGUAGGUGAAUUUCCUGCUUUGCUUGUGACUACGUGUCAUGGUUGACCGUCUAAACAGAGAAAGGUUUGUAUAUGUUAUGGUCUAUGUACCUGAGAGUUCAGGUAAACUGAAGCACAUGACCAAUAUCCCUGGGAAACAUUCGGAGUUCGGUGUCAGUUCGGCCUGCAUAGCAACAUUUGCACCUGUUGUCUUCUUUUUCAUUUCUUUAUUGAAUUAAGAAACCCAAGACUUGAGAUGAAGAAAACAUGUUAAAAAUCAAUUUUAAAAAAGAGCAUUAUUAAACAGGUAAAAUAAAACUAUAUAAAUAAGGUGAUGAUAUUUCUGUUUAGUUAUGACACACUGUAUGCUGUGAUUCUGAUGCGGGGCACAUAAAGACGUUCAUAGCCAGGC
rnacentral:lncRNA from 1 species